GUCAUAGACACCAUAGACUUUAUAUAAAGAUGGACGAUGCGUCUCCACUUCCUCUCACUAUACAAUAAUUAAGCCGGAUACAGGUGUUGUCAUCUUUGGAGCCAGAGCCUGUGCAGUAGUGACCGGGUUUGGAGCUGCGGUACCAAGGUACCACCCAUUCAACGGGCCGACUCAUUUGCGAGCAGAGACGACCGCAGAGAGCGACAGCAUGAGACAGCACUUUUAAAAUCCUGUCCUGAAUUAAACGUAAGAUGUUUGUCAAUUUAAAAGUUCCAGUCUAGACUGGCUGCGAUUACAGUAAAAGCCGGUGUCGGUACAUUCCUCCUCUUCCUGGUUUUGUUUGCUGGGACCAGAGCGGCUUGGGGACAGACUGGGGACAGACUGUCCUAUCAGCACCGCCGGUCCGAACAUGCCUGCUGAUACCAAAACAGAAAGUCUAGCCAUGGCCAAACAGCCAGGACCGGCAGGAAGGAAGCAGCCUCGGUCAGGGAGAGAAGGAGAAGUUGUUUCACUGCAUUAAUGGCAGGCGUUCUUUGGAUGCUUCCUCACCAGGUUCAAAGGUGAGCCUCAUUAAGCUGCAGCAGCAGUGUCAUCAUUCAAAGACAAAAGUGUUUAACACUAUGCAGUAUGUAUAUAUUACAGUUUAUGUGGUCCAUUUUUCCUUUGGGAAAUGACCUGAUUUUUCUUGCUGAAUGGCCUCAGACCAUCAGACAUACCUCAUUCUUUAAACAGACAUACUUAUUUCUUAUUACAACGUGCUGGCAUGCCUGUACGGGAAGGCAUUCUUUACAUUAUAGUCUAGAUCGUCAUAGCAUCUUCUUCUGUGUCUGGGUAUACCAGACACCAGAUGCAAUAAACAGUUGGUGCAACACUGUAAACAGACACUGUCCUCUAUACAACUCCGCAGAUUGAAAUCUUAAUUUACCAUUCAGACACCUGAUGAUAUCCAUCUGCUAUCCGGCAGGCUAACAUAUAGCAGGUGAAUACGUGAUGAACUGUGGCAGGUCAGUGUGAGCGAGGGCAAAGGGACAGUGUUAAUAUGCAUGUU